rnacentral:rRNA from 1 species
UUUUCCGGAAUUAUUGGGCGUAAGAGCUCGUAGGCGGUUUGUCGCGUCGAUUGUGAAAGCCCGGGGCUUAACCCUGGGUCUGCAGUCGAUACGGGCAGGCUAGAGUUCGGCAAGGGAGACUGGAAUUCCUGGUGUAGCGGUGAAAUGCGCAAAUAUCAGGAGGAACACCGGUGGCGAAGGCAGGUCUCUGGGCCGAUACUGACCCUAAGGAGCGAAAGCGUGGGGAGCGAACAGGAUUAGAUACCCUGGUAGUCCACGCCGUAAACAGUGGGCACUAGGUGUGGGCAACAUUCCACGUUGUCCGUGCCGCAUCUAACGCAUUAAGUGCCCCGCCUGGGGAGUACGGCCGCAAGGCUAAAACUCAAAGGAAUUGACGGGGGCCCGCACAAGCGGCGGAGCAUGUGGCUUAAUUCGACGCACCGCGAAAAACCUUACCAAGGCUUGACUUACAUCGGAAACGGCCAGAGAUGGUCGCCCCCUUGUGGUCAGUGUACAGGUGGUGCAUGGCUGUCGUCAGCUCGUGUCGUGA